rnacentral:lncRNA from 1 species
GUAGAGCAGAUUGCUUCAUUUGACAGUUUUAGUGGCUCCAGUGCAGCGCCAGCACCUCGCAGAAAUCUGUGUGGGCUGCUUUGGCAUUCAGGGAGGGCCAGGACACAGGGGAAUGCUUAUGGUCCCUUAUGAUGUCCCGACAGAGCUGUUCUUGCUGUCACCCUUGCUAGGUCCUGAGCUUGGUCCUGACACAGAGGUGAGGUUCAAAUCACAGGACAAGAAGAGUGUACUCCAAAAAUAAAAGCAGACUGGCUCAUGCUGUCCAGCAAAUUCCUACAUGAAAGCAGGAGGAUUUCAGAGGUUCUACAAAUCCUGCUUUGCUGUGGGAGGAGAGAAAUCCUAUCUGUUGGGUGGGGACUGGAGAUGGCCAGAAGAUAUACAGGAGGAUCGAGACAAGGAUAUCUACUUACUGGAAACUUUGUAUGAGUUUUCUCUCAGCAGAGCUCAAGGUA